rnacentral:ncRNA from 2 species
UAUGACUAAAUAGGGAGCUCAAAUAGAUGGGCUGAGAGUAGACUUGGUAGUCUUGACCUGAAACCUGAUUUGGAUAAUGCCAACGUAGGGAAAUACAUGUCUUGCACA